rnacentral:rRNA from 1 species
AACAAAAACAUCUCUUUUUGAUUUAUAUAAAAAGUAUAACCUGCCCACUGAAAUUAUUUAAAUGGCCGCAGUAUUUUGACUGUGCAAAGGUAGCAUAAUAAUUAGUUUUUUAAUUAAAAGCUUGUAUGAAUGGUUGGACGAGGUAAAUACUGUCUUUAAAUAAUUUAUAGUAGAAUUUAAUUUUUGAGUUAAAAAGCUUAAAUAAUUUUAAAAGACGAGAAGACCCUAUAGAUCUUUAUUAUUUUAAUUUUAAAAAUAAUUUUGAUUUUUAAAAUUUUUAAUAUUAAAAUAAUUUUAUUGGGGUAAUAUAAAGAUUAAAGAAAUUCUUUAUUUUUAAAAACAUAAAUUUAUGGUUUUUUUGAUCCAGUUUUAUUGAUUAAAAGAUUAAGUUACCUUAGGGAUAACAGCGUAAUUUUUUUAAAGAGUUCAUAUCGAUAAAAAAGAUUGCGACCUCGAUGUUG